AGUGGGAUAGCUGGGUCAAAUGGUGGUUCCAUCCUAAGUUUUCUAAGGAAUGUACAUAUUGCUUUUCAGAUUGACUGUACCAACUUGCAGUCCCACCAGCAAU
rnacentral:pre_miRNA from 1 species